rnacentral:rRNA from 1 species
AUACGGAGGAUCCGAGCGUUAUCCGGAUUUAUCGGGUUUAAAGGGAGCGUAGGUGGGAUAUUAAGUCAGUUGUGAAAGUUUGGGGCUCAACCUUAAAAUUGCAGUUGAUACUGGUUUCCUUGAGUACGGUACAGGUGGGCGGAAUUCGUGGUGUAGCGGUGAAAUGCUUAGAUAUCACGAAGAACUCCGAUCGCGAAGGCAGCUCACCGGGCCGGAACUGACACUGAUGCUCGAAAGUGCGGGUAUCAAACAGGAUUAGAUACCCUGGUAGUCCGCACAGUAAACGAUGAAUACUCGCUGUUUGCGAUACACGGUAAGCGGCCAAGCGAAAGCGUUAAGUAUUCCACCUGGGGAGUACGCCGGCAACGGUGAAACUUAAAGGAAUUGACGGGG